CCUACGGGAGGCAGCAGUAGGGAAUAUUGCUCAAUGGGGGAAACCCUGAAGCAGCAACGCCGCGUGGAGGAUGAAGGUUUUCGGAUUGUAAACUCCUUUUGUUAGAGAAGAUAAUGACGGUAUCUAACGAAUAAGCACCGGCUGACUCCGUGCCAGCAGCCGCGGUAAUACGGAGGGUGCAAGCGUUACUCGGAAUCACUGGGCGUAAAGAGCGUGUAGGCGGGAUAGCAAGUCAGAUGUGAAAUCCUAUGGCUUAACCCUAGAACUGCAGUUGAAACUGUUAUUCUAGAGUAUGGGAGAGGUAGGUGGAAUGCUUGGUGUAGGGGUAAAAUCCGUAGAGAUCAAGCGGAAUACUCAUUGCGAAGGCGACCUGCUAGAACAUAACUGACGCUGAUGCGCGAAAGCGUGGGGAGCGAACAGGAUUAGAUACCCGGGUAGUC
rnacentral:rRNA from 1 species